UUUUGAUGUGCUAGAAGGGUCUUGAUGCCUUAGAAUUCCUUUAAACGGUGUACAUUGURUAGUUUAAUCAGUUUGCGUGUGCCCUUUUGCACCGAUGGGUCACUSCAACAAUACKAUGGUGUUUCUUGCAUUUACCAAUCAAUUUAUAACUCAAUUGAAUACUUCGAGAUAACAGAACACCAAAACAAAGUAGACCAACUUGGACGAAGACUAAGCAAAGACAAAGAUUACUUUCAACGCCGUGAAAACAUAAAURUAAGGUGCAGACUCCKAGCGACAUCAAAGAACUGAUAAAAGUGAACCUACCCACGAUGCCUCAGCUACUAUUAGUACUAUGUGCAUAUCCUUAUAUGGUAAUAUGCKAAACAAUGGUAGCAAUCGCAUGAAUGGCUAGUGAAAUACGAUUUUCUUGGCAAAUCUCACCAUUGAUWAGUAAACAGCUCAUAUUCAUCAGCUGGCUUAUCGAACGGUUAAUCAUAUGUAGAUCUAUUCUAUGUAACAAUCUGCUUCCGGUCUGGAAGAGUUUCUCGUCAAUAGAUCACGUCUAGCAGUCAUUAAUUAUCAGAAAAGUAUCCUAAGAUCUUACGGAAUUGCAGUGAAGCUACAAUACAACACACGAUCAACAAUCUACACUUUCCAUGCUUGUUAUGCUAAAUCGAAUCUACUUUUGUUUAACCAGAAUGCCUUUCGUGSUCAAUGUCCGUCUUUUUUCACUAUUUAUUCAAUUCACCAACUUGAGAAAACGU